GUGUGUGUGAGUGUGUGUGGCAGAGAGGGGGCGCUCUGAGCUCUGAAGUCCUCUGUCCACGGGCCGCUCUGCUCUCACUAUCAGAGUAGCGCGCGCUGCUACAGUUGUCUGCCGUUUUCGGGUCCGACUUAAGAUCUGGAGUUCACCUUCUCCAGCGCUGGAUGAACUCGCUGCAGCCGAACGCGACGACAAUACCAGAGCCCGGUUCGGAAGAGCGCGCGACGCCGAGCUCCGAGCACCAGCGACUAGACACCUCUCGUCUGACGUCUCACGUGCUGCCUCAUCCCGGCCGGAACCACGCCACCCCUCCACCUCGGACCCACAUCACCAUUCAGCGCGACGCUCUCUCACCAGAUCUAUGGCAUUCUGACAAUGAACAAGCGCGCUCAGUUAUUGGAACAGCUGCAGUUUGUCCAGUUGAAAUGCACACCUCG
ensembl:lncRNA